rnacentral:rRNA from 1 species
GACGAACGCUGGCGGCGUGCGUAAUACAUGCAAGUCGAGCGGGCUCGGGCUUCGGUUCGGGUUAGCGGCGGACGGGUGAGUAACGCGUGAGUGACCUGGCCUGUGGUGGGGGAUAACUGCCCGAAAGGGUGGCUAAUCCCGCAUGCGCCCGACUGAUCGGACGGUUGGGGAAAGCCCUGCGAGGGGCGCCGGAGGGGGGGCUUGCGUCCCAUUAGGUGGUUGGUGGGGUAGUGGCCUACCAAGCCGAUGAUGGGUAGCUGGUCUGAGAGGAUGGCCG